rnacentral:misc_RNA from 1 species
ACCGGAAGAAGAAUCACUGCCAGAACUUGAGCCGCUAGAGCUGCUUGGAUCCUUGUCGAUAUGCACAGGAGGAAAGUUUUCACCUGGUAUUUCCUCACCAAUAUCAACAUCCUCCUCCAAAACGUCCACUUCAUUGAUUUCAGGCUUUGCAUGUUCUGGUGUUGGUGCUUUCUCAGGCGACUUGUUGAGCAGUACGGCCGCGGCAUUUUCUGUGACUCCUGAUCUCUCAAUCUUGCUCAUA